rnacentral:rRNA from 1 species
CUUCCGUAGGGUGAACCUGCGGAAGGAUCGUUAUUGAAUGAAAGUAGAGUUGGUAUUCUCUGGGCCUCUCGGGGGUAUGUGCACUCCUUGUGUUUCAUCCACACUCACGUGGGCGAUAAUGAGACGGUGGGCUUGAGGUAGUUUUCUGUUUAUUCAACCACACAAACUCAUGGUACUUAAAAAGAAGGUAUUUGAUGUAACGCAUCAUUAGAACUAAGUUUCAACAACGGAUAUCUUGGCUCUCGCAUUGAUGAAGAACGCAGCGAAAUGAGAUAAGUAAUAAGAAUCCAGAAUUCAGUGAAUCAUCGAAUCCUUGAACGCACCUUGCGUUCCUGGGUAUUCCAUGGCGCAUCCCCGUUUGAGUAUCAUGAAAUUCUCAAAGUAAAUGAGCGUCAAUUCAUCUGGUUUUGCUUUGGACUUGGAGGUCUUUGCAGAUUUCACGUCUGGUCCUCCUAAAUGCAUUAGCAGGAUCUCAGUAUAUGCUUGGUUCCACUGGGCGUGAUAAGUAUCACUCGGAGUGGCCAGAGUAAAAGGGCGUCAGGAAAUACAGAGGAACCGGUUAUCAUAUUCCAGUAACAAGUCAAUUAAUUUAAGCUCUGAACUCACAUCGGGAGACUCU